CGGCUACCCGGGGAGCGGCAGGUGAGGCCGCGCCGGGCGUGUGGCAGCGCCCCGGCUGGCCUCUGGCGGGGAGCCCGAGACAGUCGCCUGCUGCCGGGACGAAGGGGCGUGGGUGGACUCAGUCUCCAGGAGGCGGUCCGGAACCCUGCCGGCCCUCUGCCCCAGAUGUCAGCCGGGAGACAGCUCCCUGCCGUGCUGGAACCAGACCGUUGAUGGCGGGCCCCGGUGGGUGAUGUAUGUAGCCCCUCAAAACAGGCUGAAGAGCGGCGGCAAGAAAGGAGUUGGUCUCCGCAAACCGCCCGAAGUCAAGGAAGAUUUUGGAUAAAUCAUUAUCAAGGAAGCUAAGGACACCUGGGUUGUAUUGAAAGCACACCAGCCAUGAAAUCAGAAGGCCAGAAUUUGAAUUCCAGUUACUCACAAAUAUUGUAAGGAUUUGGGAAAUUUAAAGAACUAGAAGGCCCAAAGAAGAGAUUUAACCAAAGAACCAAAAUCAGAGAAAGUGAAUUUGGGAAUCUAAGUAACUGAGAAAUCAAAUCCAUUCUUUCUGAUAUUCCAUUGUUUUCUCUGCUCAUGGAUUCUCACCAAAGGACAAGCAAGGAUCUCAGCACACUUAAAUGUCACUUAGAUUCUUACAUCACAGCUGUACCAUAAGGAGUGUGAAUUGCUACUGGGCCACCAAUGUAAUCUCUACAGCUGACAUGGUGAGAACUCAUGACCUAGAGAUCUAGAGUUGCAUGCUCUACUGAGUGAGCCAGCCAGGUGCCCCUGAACCAAGAAAAGAAAACCAGAAACUAAUAAAGGACUUUAAGAAGUAUAUUCCUCAAGCUUGGAAGCCCCACACAGGCAGUCCCUGUUGUCCUGCUCAAAGAGGGACCCACCCGGGGGGAAGCCAAGCUGUGCUCCUUGAUGCCAGCCUGGAAGAAUUCCCUCAGUUUCAUCUCUUGGAAAUCUCAAGUUUGUGCAAGGUUCUCAGCAAAUGACGCUGCUCCAUGAAACCCACUUGCAGUCUCCAGCCAGCUCACAUGGAGUCAGUCUGCGAACAGAGGAACUGGACAGGGUCACACCUGUGAUUUUC